rnacentral:lncRNA from 1 species
UGAACAGGAAGACUCACCCUGACCGCCAGCCAAUACCCAGAGUACAGGAUAUCAUGGACAGCCUUGGAGAAAAUUCCUGGUUUUCACCCUUGGAUCAGGGACAAGCAUAUCACUAGGGGUUCAUGGAAAAGGAAAGCAGCCUUUGUGACCCCAUCGAGCCUGUAUGAGUGGGUUUGUUUUCAGUAUGGACUCAUGGAUGCACCAACAGCCUUCCAGCGCUUAAUGGAGGAAUGUUUGGAUGGCUUGAGAGAUGAGAUCUGUGUCCCGUAUCUGGACAACACCCUCGUCUUCAGCAAGAACUUUGAGAUCCAUGUCAACUAUUUUAGAAAAGUACUACAGAGACUAAGAGAAUAUGGGAAAAAGCUGAAGCCCAGCAAGUUUUCCCGUGUGUAUCAACAAGGGUCCACCACCCAAAGGACAUCCAGCCAACAACUGUGGCAAGCAUUAGAGUCAACGUGGGCCAGCAUCUCUUUGGAAUGCUUUCGACACCUUGUAGAAUCAUGUGUUAACACAGUACACAAACAUGGUAAGAAUACAUUUUUGAUUAGCUAUGCGUGACUCGAGAAUGUAUAUUGAAUCAGUAAACCUACACCACAUACAAACCUCAGUGA